rnacentral:tRNA from 1 species
GCCUGGAUGGCUCAGUGGUUGAGUGUCUGCCUUCAGCUCAGGGUGUGAUCCCAAGGUCCCAGGCUCAAGUCCUGCUUUGGGCU